rnacentral:rRNA from 1 species
CAAGUCGAGCGAGAAAGGGGAGCAAUCCCUGAGUACAGCGGCGCACGGGUGAGUAACACGUGGGUAAUCUGCCUCGGAGUGGGGAAUAACACCGGGAAACCGGUGCUAAUACCGCAUACGAUCACGAUGUCUGCGGAUGUUGUGAUGAAAGGCGCAAGUCGCUCUGAGAGGAGCCCGCGGCUGAUUAGCUAGUUGGUGGGGUAAUAGCUCACCAAGGCAACGAUCAGUAUCCGGUCUGAGAGGACGGUCGGACACACUGGAACUGAGACACGGUCCAGACUCCUACGGGAGGCAGCAGUGGGGAAUUUUUGGCAAUGGGGGCAACCCUGACCAAGCAACGCCGCGUGGGUGAUGAAGUCUCUUGGGACGUAAAACCCUUUCGACGGGGAAGAAAACCGCAAGGUUUGACGGUACCCGUAGAAGAAGCCCCGGCUAACUCCGUGCCAGCAGCCGCGGUAAUACGGGGGGGGCGAGCGUUGUUCGGAAUUACUGGGCGUAAAGGGCGCGUAGGCGGUUCGCUAAGUCGGAUGUGAAAACUCUGGGCUCAACCCAGAGCCUGCAUCCGAAACUGGCGGGCUAGAGUUCUGGAGGGGAUAGUGGAAUUCCUGGUGUAGCGGUGAAAUGCGUAGAUAUCAGGAGGAACACCGGUGGCGAAGGCGGCUAUCUGGACAGAAACUGACGCUGAGGCGCGAAAGCUAGGGGAGCAAACAGGAUUAGAUACCCUGGUAGUCCUAGCCCUAAACGAUGGAUACUUGGUGUGACGGGGAUUGAAUCCCGUCGUGCCGAAGCUAACGCAUUAAGUAUCCCGCCUGGGGAGUACGGUCCCCAAG